UGAUUUUAAAAUUUCUUUUAAUUCCAAAUACAAAGUUAUGGUUUGCUGGCAAAAAUAAAGUAAUGUAAAUAGCCCCUGAAACAAAACAGCCAAAAAAAUGCUAGCAAACAAAAAACCUUUAAGAUCUUCUACUCUACCUUUGAAACCUAUGUAUUUAGACUUUCUCCAAAAGCAAAAUAUCUACAAAGUAGUAUAAAUCCUAAGAAUUGGCUGUAGUCAGGGGUUUCACAGAACAGAAUUUGGAAUAAAUUUUUAAGAAUAUAAGAUUUUUAAUUUUUGCCAUUAUUAUUUUGCAGUACUUAGCAUUGAACCCAGACUUGUGCAUGGUAGGCAAGCAUUCUGCUGCUGAGCUAUGUACCCCCAACCCCAGUAUGUAAGAUGUUUGAUUAAAAAUAUUAUAGGAAUAUAUGGCUUCUGAAAAACUCUGCCCAAGAAAUAUUUUGAUCGAUUUGUAGGGUUUACAUGCUUCUUAUAGGACUUAAAAAGGAAGGAAUUCCACAUAUAUUGGGGGUUUCUAGGGGCCCAUUUAGAGGAGUUUGCUUGUAAAAUUAAAGAAGUUUUAUGUAAAGUACCCCAACAACCUGUACUGUAAAAAUAUAAUUUAGUGAAUGGGCCUUUCAUAAUAACAGCAUUAAAUUUGUCUUUUUUCAAAUGACUUUAAUUUUUUCUUUUUCCCAUUUACUUCUAGGAUAUCACUGGGAAUUAGGAAUCAGGCAAUUUUCUUUCUAAUAACUGCAACA
rnacentral:lncRNA from 1 species